rnacentral:rRNA from 1 species
CCUACGGGAGGCAGCAGUGGGGAAUAUUGCACAAUGGGCGCAAGCCUGAUGCAGCGACGCCGCGUGAGGGAUGACGGCCUUCGGGUUGUAAACCUCUUUCAGUAGGGAAGAAGCGUAAGUGACGGUACCUGCAGAAGAAGCGCCGGCUAACUACGUGCCAGCAGCCGCGGUAAUACGUAGGGCGCAAGCGUUAUCCGGAAUUAUUGGGCGUAAAGAGCUCGUAGGCGGUUUGUCGCGUCUGCCGUGAAAGUCCGGGGCUCAACUCCGGAUCUGCGGUGGGUACGGGCAGACUAGAGUGAUGUAGGGGAGACUGGAAUUCCUGGUGUAGCGGUGAAAUGCGCAGAUAUCAGGAGGAACACCGAUGGCGAAGGCAGGUCUCUGGGCAUUAACUGACGCUGAGGAGCGAAAGCAUGGGGAGCGAACAGGAUUAGAUACCCUGGUAGUCCAUGCCGUAAACGUUGGGCACUAGGUGUGGGGGACAUUCCACGUUUUCCGCGCCGUAGCUAACGCAUUAAGUGCCCCGCCUGGGAGUACGGCCGCAGGCAAACUUAAUGAAUUGACG